AUUGAACGCUGGCGACAGGCCUAACACAUGCAAGUCGAGCGGAUCGCCGGACGGGUGCGUAAUGCUAAGGACUCGGCAUGGUCGUGGGGGAUAACGUCCGCAAACGGGAGCUAAUACUCAUUCCUAUCACAUGAGCCUAUGUCGGAUUAGCUAGGUGGUGGGGUAAAGGCCUACCAAGGCGACGAUCCGUAACUGGUCUGAGAGGAUGAUCCGUCACACUGGAACUGAGACACGGUCCAGACUCCUACGGGAGGCAGCAGUGGGGAAUAUUGGACAAUGGGCGAAAGCCUGAUCCAGCCAUGCCGCGUGUGUGAAGAAGGUCUUCGGAUUGUAAAGCACUUUAAGUUGGGAGGCGUUACCAACAGAAUAAGCACCGGCUAACUUCGUGCCAGCAGCCGCGGUAAUUC
rnacentral:rRNA from 1 species